GAAGGGCAUAUGAUGAGUCUCAUUUUUAAUGGGUAAUUUGCGCCUGAGUUUUCUUUGAUGUUAAUCACCUUGGAGAACUGAUGCUCUUU
rfam:Ipomoea nil DNA, scaffold: scaffold1407, cultivar: Tokyo-kokei standard.